AUUGUCAACAUCCAUCUGCUCCAAGAUUGUUGCACCAUCAUUUGUUAUGGUAACGUCGCCAUCAGGGCUCUGGAGCAUCUUGUCCAUGCCCUUAGGGCCGAGCGAGGUCCUGAGGAUACGAGCAACAGCUUUUCCAGAAGCAAUGUUAGCCUUCUGGGCAUCGAGACCCCUCAACCUGGUCUUCUGCUCCUGCUCCUUCAAGAUUAUAAACGGCCUUCCAA
rnacentral:misc_RNA from 1 species